rnacentral:rRNA from 1 species
GACGAACGCUGGCGGCGUGCUUAACACAUGCAAGUCGAACGGAAAGGCCCUGCUUGCAGGGUACUCGAGUGGCGAACGGGUGAGUAACACUUGGGUGAUCUGCCCUGCACUUCGGGAUAAGCCUGGGAAACUGGGUCUAAUACCGGAUAGGAGCCAUUUUUAGUGUGAUGGUUGGAAAGUUUUUUCGGUGUAGGAUGAGCUCGCGGCCUAUCAGCUUGUUGGUGGGGUAAUGGCCUACCAAGGCGGCGACGGGUAGCCGGUCUGAGAGGGUGGACGGCCACACUGGGACUGAGAUACGGCGCAGACACCUACGGGAGGCAUCAGUGGGGAAUAUUGCACAAUGGGCACUAGCCUGAUGCAGCGUAGCCGCGUGGGGGAUGGCGGCCUUCGGGUUGUAAUCUUCGUUCGCUAGAGACGAAGCUUUUUGUGACGGUACCUAGAUAAGAAGCACCGGCUAACUACGUG